UCCACUGGAGUCUAAGCUUGAUUCUCUGACACUGUUCUCUCAUUCUUCUAAAUCACAAUAUCCAACCUUUUGGCUUCCCUGGGCCCACUGGAAGAAGUGUCUUGGGCCAGACAUAAAAUACAUUGACACUAAUGACAGCUGAUAAGCUUAAAAAAAAAAAAGUCCAUGCAUAACUUUUGUUCUAUCACCACCACAGAAGGUCCAUGCAUAAUUUUUAUCAGCCACCACAGAUAAGCAAAGAGAGUCCUCAUAUUGAAAGGGUUAGAUACCACUGCUCUAAAGGCUAACAAAUGGAAUGAAUGAGGCAAAGGCAACCUCCUCUUUUCAGGAAAAUCUGAAAUUAUUCUUCCUUUUAUCCAUCAGACUAGCCUAAAGGAAAUCUGCUCUCUUCUUGGAAUGACAUUUCACGCAACAUUCCAUUUCUCUUGUGUUCAUCUGGACACUCAGAACUGCUGAAAACUGAUAAAUUAUGGCAACCAUAUUAAAUAUUGCUGAGCUCAGGCCAACGACUUCUUGAAAAGAGAGCAACGAGUCUAUUUGUAGUGACUGGAAUCUUUCAAUAUAGCUAUUGAUAACUAACACCCUGGGCAUAGUGUGUCUCCAACUUAUAGGUCCUGGAGUGGUUGCGAAUUAAGAGACACAAAAGAGGCAAUGAGAUCUCCCUCAAGCGCAGCCUCAGAAGAAUUGGAAAUGCAUAGGAGAGAUUUAUAAAACACAAGGCUGGCCCCCUACUCCAUCCUUAAAACAUCCAUACUUUUAGCCAUGGGUAAGUUGAUUUAACUAUCCCCAUAACCUUUUCUCCUCCCGACCCCCAUCCUUCUCCAGGGACCUACUGGAAGGAAGGAAAUUUGGUAGAUCUAUGUGCUGAGAGAUAAGUGGCCAUGUAAUGAGGUAGGUUAACAACAAUUGUUCCUGUAUAUAUUGUUGGCACACACAAAUGUGUUUGAUUUGGAGUAGGAACUGAUAACUUCUUUGGAUUUGAAUUUCUUCUGUCAGCAAUAGGAGAGAAGUUCAGUCAGAUGAUUUCUAUCUGUGGGAAUCCAACUUUGACUUGUGGUGAUCCUACCCCUUCCUCAGUCUUUUACAAAUUAAGUGGCCUCCUCACCUGAGACGAGUAGAACUGUAUGCACAGUAAGGCACCAGGACGGAUCUAGACUGGCAAAGAAGUGGUGAGAGAAAUGGGGAAAGGGUUAGGGAAGAAGGGAGAGGACUCUCAACUACAGUCAUAGUGAGACCUUGAGUGCCUCUGCGUUAGUCCUUCCUCUUCCUCUACUCCUUGUGUCUCAGCUGAAGGGCAAACUUCAGGGACAAUCUCAUUUUGUUUCUACCACUGUUCAGGGUCCCACCUUGCGACCCUCUCCUGAGAGGUUGUCCACAACUCUGUCCCACCCCCGUUCUCCAUCUUCUUCCGCCAGAUCUGGGGCUGGGGCAUUGGAGAGGGGAAAGAGGAAACGUCGUGGCUGGCAGGGUAGGAAGGGAUGCGUGUCCAGGUGAGAAAGAGGUGUGACGUGCAGAUGGGAUGCCCGCCGCUAUGACGCUGCCGAGACCCGCGGUGACUGCGUCAGAGUUUCACCCGGGGAGGUGAGCAGCAGCGGGACGGGGGAACGGCGGGGUAGCCAAGCAACGCCGGACGCGCUGACGUCGCCGGGGCGGCAAAACGUCCGCCCGGGCCCGAGGCGGGCGGAGGCAGCUGUGGUUACGUGCGGGGGGCCGGUGACGCAGUCGCGGGGCGCUGGGACGCGGCUUGCGGAGCCGGCCGGCGAGCGCAGGCCCCAGGCUCGGGCGCGGCGGCGGGACAGCACCUACCUUCCCGGCUUCGGGUCCGGGAGUGCGGGGCGCGGAGCCGCCGGAGCGCUGCCUCCCUCCUUCCUCCUCCCCUCGCCCCCGCCCCGCGGCGCGACACACAAUACUCGCCGGAAGCGGAAGCCGCGCCGAGGCUCGUGUCAGUGGAAGCUGGGGUGUCGGCGGGCGGCCGCGGCCGGGUCUAGCGGUGCCUGCGGAAGAAGGAGGAGGAGGGCUGGCGAUGAGAAGCAGCAGGGGGAAUCAAGGGCAAGAAGGGACCCAGAGGGGCAGGUGGCUGAGAUGCUGGCGUCCAGGUGACCCGAGGAAUCCUCUGGAGAUACAGGCCCGCGCAUGCGCGUGCUCGAGCGCUGAAGCCCAUUGCCCGCAGGGCGCUGGACUGGCGCCCCGGCCGGCGAGGCUGUCUAGUCCAGGCUCCAGGCCCCGGCUCUGGCCAGGCGCCGCCGCCUCCCGGUGCAGCUGAAAGUCGACGAAGAGGGCGGGGCGGGGGCGGCUUGUGGACUUCCACACUUUUCCUCUCUUCGGGCCAGUCUGGGGAGAGGGUGGCUAGCUGUGGCGGCGGCCAAUUACGUGGCGGACCUGCGGGGCUAAGCUGGCACGUCACUUCCGACUAGUGGAGUUUUUAGCCUUUUAACAUUCAAGGAUUAGGUAAGUUCUCCCCGCGGUAGACUUCAAAUACUCUUUGUCCUGCCCCUGCUUGGCGAAAUUUACCGAAAUUAUCUACCUAUCCCGCUGGAGUGGGAGCCGGGGGAGAGCUGGAACCGCGUCUCUGCUGCUCACCUUUGUGUCCUUAGCUCCUUCGCAUGGGGUCCGACCGCAACACGUGCGCUGGAUAAACGCUUGUUAACUGGAGCUCCCUCUUUGCCCACUAGCAGGGCAUUAGCUGGUGCUGAAGACAGUGGCUGCUUGGCGAGCCUGGAUCUCCAAGUGACCCCCUCAGCAACUCCUGAUGAACAGGACUGAAGCCAAUAUUAAAGCAAGUCAACCAAAGGUUCUCUGGUGUAGACAAGACAGCAAAAGGACAGACUACCUUGUGGAACCUAGCAUUGUUCUCCUUCUGCAGCACUAAGUAACAUUUGUUCUCCGUUAAGAUCUUUGCAAACCACACACAAGAAUUGCUGGUCAUCCUGCCAAUAGAUGCUGCUCACAGAACCAAAUUUCCUGUGCUGAAUUGUCACUCAUGGGCUUGAGAGUAGGAGACUGGAGACCAAGGUGGCUAGAAUCCAGUUGGGCCUGAUGUCUCCCUGUUGAAAGGGCUCCUUGUGGAAUGAAUAGCACAUGGCUCCUGUGGUGGAUCUGAUAGUGGCAUAGCACCAAGUGAUGCAGGCCUGCCAGGGGCCACAGACACAGAAGAUGCUCCCGGGGUCCCCCAUGUACUCCAGACACACUGCAGGCCACCUCUCCCAGCAGGUUGCCAGUCAUGGGCCCCAUCAUCAUGACUUCUGUCCAAGGUGUGCUCGGAAAUCUCUUCCUUAACUGUGACUUUCUGACAGGUGGAGGAUGUGGUCAGGAGUGGGAAAAGGAUUCGAGACGGGAAGAGGGAGGGGUUCAGGAUGAAGAGAGAUAAUCUGUGCCACAGAUGCUGGCCCUGCAGUUAGCUCCCACCUAGUCCGUGCACACACAUUCUAAUCCCCUCCCAUUCCUUUACAUGCUGCGGCCAGAGAGGCCUUUCUCAAAGUGGAAGUCUCAUCCUCACUUCUCUGGUUACAGUGCUGGGCCAUGGUAACUUACAAGGCUUAGCAGGAACUGUCUGCGCACUCCCCCUUCCUGCCCACUACCUUGUUUCCCUCCAGUUGCGAGAGAAAACAUUGAUUGAGCAUUAACUAUGUGCCAGGCUUGUCCUAAGUCCUUUGCAUGUAUUCACUCAAACAAUCCUCACAACAUUCCUAUCACAUCUCCCAUUUCACAGUGAGGGUUCUAAAGCACGUAGUGGGUGAGGAACUUGUCCAGGGUCACACAACUAAGUGGGGGUGGAGAAACAUCAAAUCUAGGUGGUCCAGGUGGUGGCCAGAACCCAUCAGCACCUCACUACAGCUGCCUCCAGUUUCUCGCUCUAGGAAAUACUCUUCCCUGUCAACUCCUGUUGUCCUCUGGGCUCAGUUGACAUGUCAUCUCCUUGAGGAGGACAUCCUGAGAUGCUCCCCGACUAGGGUGGGCACCCACUUCCACACUCCAAAUGCCUAUUUGACCUGUGUAUCGCUGCAUCCCCACUGCCUGGCAGAUAGCAGGCCCCUAAUAAAUAUGAUUUGAGCAAAUAAAUAUAGUUCUUCAAAAAAUAGGGAGGACUUCUUGCUUCAGGUAAUGGUAGGCUAGGACAUUUGGACCAACCCUCCUGCAGAAAAUAGCCAUUUAUUUUGAUGCAAUAUAUCUGGCUAUGACUAGAGAUUUCAAAUAUUUGGAGGGCUAUUAUGUGAAGAACUAAACUUACUCUUUGUGACAUAGAGGUCAGAAAUUGGUCGUUUCCAUAGAGUAUGAGAGAGACAGAAUUGUGCUCAUCAUAAGUAUCUUUUUUAAAAGUUAGACUUAAUAAAAUGGGCUGCCUUGGUAGGUGGUGAGUUCUCUGUCACGAAAGAGAUUCAGCCACUUGCUCUGAGAAAGCAUGGAGAAUAUCAACAUUGUAAGGGUCGACCACCUCAUCUCUGAGGCCCCCUCCUCACUUAGGUUGCCAUUGCAGGUGGAACACUGGGCUGAGUGUCAAAGAACCUGGGUUCCACAAGCUGUGCGACCAUGGCUGGUUGUUUUGGAUCUCAUUCCUAAUAUCUGUUAGUUAAGCUGACCCGUCAAUACUGACCCACUUCACAGAGUUAUGAAGGGAUUAAAUUAGGUAUUACAUGUAAAUCUGUUUUGUUUGCUUUUUGUUGUUCUUUUUUGUUUUGCUUUUUUCUUUGCAUUAUGAAAUCCCAAGUCAACUUUUUCCAUUCUUUUAUUUUUUUAAAAAUUGACAUCAUCAUUAUAACCACAAAAUAAUUUUUAAAAUGGAAAAAAAAAACUCACCUGCAACCCCACAAUCUAAUACAAUAAUCAUACUUUUUUCCCUUUAUUCUCCUUUAUUGUGACCAAGGAUGACUUUGGGCAUUGCUGUGAGGAACUAUUUCGUUUAACACCCUACUACCUGAACAUGAUGCGUACUCAGCCUUUCACCACCCCCCAAGUAGCUACACAUGAUGUGAUAAUAGUAUUGGUGGUGGUUUUAGAGAGUUGGAGAGAAAACUGAAGUUGGAUUUGGGUAAAAGAAAAAAGAGUGGGAAUUAUUUUUUCUCCAUUCUAAAGCCCAUAAAGCAAUGUUAAUUGUUCCCACCCCUCUGCUAUUCUGUCUCCUCAGGUACUGUGUGCAGAAAUGUGAUUGAGAUUCAAGUCAGGGCCUCUCUGCCCUUUUCCCUCCAGAAACAAAACCAAGAUAAUUUAUCCUGAACACGGUGAAAAAAGGAAGGGAGGGAGGAGAAAAAGUCCGGGUCUCACCUGGGAUUCUCUGUCUCCUGCAACAUGAAGGAUUUAGCCUGGGAGGAGGUGGUGAGAACUCUGGGAGAGAAAAAAGAAGGAAAGAAUAGUUUUACCCAUGCUGAAGUUAAUUUAAACCUUCACCUAGAGAAGCAAAAAAAAAAAACCCACACUUUCCCAUUUUGUGCCUCCCUUCCUAGAGUUUUAGCCAAAGGUUUAGCUAAGUAAUUGGUUUUACCAGCGCACUCACUCCUCCUAUCCCAAGUCUGUUUGACUCCCUCCCCAUCAUCCUCCUCACCUCUUUUCAGGCAGGGUGGGGAUAGCAGCAGGAGGAGAUUUUGGGAGCCUGGCAACUCCUGCAAGGACCGCAGGACAGCCCCUCUGUGGGGAUGCGUGGUGCCCCAUCUGCCGCCCUUCUGAAGAAUGCACUGCCUUCACUUUUUACUGUGUUAGAGUCCAUCCAGACUGUUCUAUCCAAAAAAGUUUCUUUUUCCCCCACAGGCAAUCAGGAAAUGAUUCCUUUCCCGACUGCUUCUGUCUAGUGCCUGGGAAUCUUGAGUCAAUCCCUCAGUAAGUCAGUGACUAGGGAAAUCCCUCUCUGAGCCUCCCAGUUCAUGUUGCUUAGGGAACCUGAUAUUUUCGUGAAACCUGCCUACACAUGGGCAGCCCAACAGCAGAACAAAUGGUGGUGACCAAAGUGAACAAAGAAGUAUAGUUGUGCCAGCUUCGUAGUUGCCCAUGUGGACAAGUCAGCAGGAUCAGGACACGAGGAAGAGUAAAUGUGAGACAGUCAAUGUGACUUCUGCGAUAAACAGAUUUUUAAACCCCGAAAUUUUGCAAAAUUUUGGUGAAACCUGAACUUUCUUCGUUGCAUAUACUGGCACUAUCUGUACCAUCAUACAACUGUCUCACAUUAAAGCUAUUUUUCUUGGGCACUGAUGAGUAAGGUUGGUAUAAGUUCCUCAGAUCAACAAAAACCCAUUUUCCUGUAAGUCUUACAUUUAGUAUUUAAGGAACUAAAACUUAAAUACAUUUUGUGAAAUGGUUGACACUUCACUGAUAAUGAUUUAUUGCUUGGAUUAAUAAAUUUUCCAAAAGUUGUCUUAUGUAGAAUAUGGUUUGCAACCAGCAGAACCAUUAAUCUAUACUGCAAUGAUAUGCACUAUGUAUAAUUGUUUAAAAGCCUCUACUUAAUGAUGUAAAAUGCUCUAUUUAAUUACACAUUUGGGUAAACUGUAUACUAACAUCUGAUGGCAUUUUUCCACUGUUUGUUGCUUUUUUCAAAUACUUUAUUGUACAAAGCUGUUCUUAAUAUUUUUCAAGUUUUUUUCUUUGAAUUUUGCUAAUGUUUUCCUUGAAUUAUGAGCACUGACAGAAUGUGCUUAGCACUUUUGGCUAUUCACACAGCUUUUGAGCAUGAUUUGCAUCCAAUAUUUACAUUGCUAGCAAUAAUAAGCCAUCUGUGAGUUUUGUCAAAAGUUAUUGGGGAUUUUUUAAAUUUUAGAAAUGCAAAUUAUUGUUUCUUUGAACUAACUCUUAUGCAGUUGCAAAGGCAUUUCCAGUUGUUAUAGUUUGUGUACAAUAUCAGGUGUUCCAGAUUAUGAUUCAUUAUUAAUAUCAUUGCUUCCUUGUUCCCUCUGAGGUCCAGAAGAUUCAUGUUUACAAUAUUUAGAAACAAUGUUAAAAAGGUAUCCAAAGUUUGUCACUUUAUUAUUAGUUUGUUCUUAAUAUUCUGUUUAAGUUUUUGAAUUCAUAGAUAUCAAAACGCUGCACAAUUAUGAUUUCCACAGGAAUAACAACACACUAACAAUAAGAACCAAAAACAGCAAAUAGGCUGCCUACAAGUUUUGACAAUAUUAGGAUAAUGAUAAUGACAGUUUUUCUAAAUCUCACAGUAAAGAAUGCAGCAACCCAGCAACACUGCUACCUGUGGCCUCAGGCUGCAGUGUCAGCUCUUCCCUGGGUCUCCAGCCUGCCAGUCUAACCUGAAAAUUAUGUACUUGCCAGCCCCCACAGUCACGUGAGUGAACUGGCCCAGGCUGGUCACCAGGGUCAGUUUCUCUGUGUGUCAUUAAUUCAUUCAGUCUUCAGCAGUCUCUUUGGAGCUGAGAUGUACCUACCAUCUGCCUUUUGGGUGCUUAGGGUGGAGAACCAGAAAAGUAUAACCUAGUGUGUAUCCUCAAAGAGCUAACAAUAUGGGGUGGUACCUAUAGGUCUGGAAACACUUUACUGACUCUGUGAGGCAUACCAGGAGACGUCAGAGAACAGUCCCUCCUCAAAUGCCAAAUGAGAUGCAGAAGAAAUAGUUUGCUCAAGUUCAUGGGCCAGAUAUCCCAGUGGUCAGGGAGUUUCAUGAAUGAGAUGGAACUUUGCAUGGAACCCGAGGGAUGUGUAUGAUUUGAGUAGAUGAAGAAAAUGAGACUUUCCAAGCAGCUAGAAGUUAGGGAGCAGCAAGAUGUGUGGUGGGAUUGAGCACAGUUGGUUCAGAGGAUAGACUGCAGUUUUAAUAAUUUGUAGUAAAUAUCUCCCAACUGUUUGGCACUAUUGGAGCAAGUUCUUGAAUGCCAAAUGAAGGCAUAAAUCAGUAAGAGGCAUAAUAAAAGGCUGAGCAGUGCUUGGCUUUUUACGAACUGAUCCUGAUAGGAGCAGCUGUUCAACAAAGUUGCCAGGUCACCGUUACAUAGUCCCUGCCUUCUAGGGGCUCACUGCCUACUGGGAGAGACAGUCUGAAAGUUGGUGGAGCAUGUAACUGUUGGAUGAGGAGUUUGAGCCUGUGGACUGUGGGACCCCCGAGGAGGGUGUGGCUACUCUAGGCAGAACAAUCCCACAGUUUAUUUAUAUUUAACCUUGAAAUUCAUUAGAGGAUUUUUCAGCAGAGGUUUGGUACUUGUUAAUGUUAAGGUUUGCAUUCUCUAGAACCUCAAGGAAAGCUGUACCGUGCAUAAUGUACCCUCUUAUGUUAAUGUUGUGUACUGUGAUCCUGUUUCAGGGACUUGCACUUAGGAAUCUGUUACAGUGAGCACAGAAGCAGACCUGUGGGCUCAUAGUCUUCACCCCCCACCCAUAUAUACAAGAUGAACAGAGUGGAGGUUAAACAACUUGACUAAACAACACAGUUCAUGGUAAAGCCCAAGACUGUACCUGCCCAUCCACUGCCUUUUCCAUGUAUCCUGGAACUGAGCAUAGACCUCUUCCCAGGCAGAGCUGACAGCAAGUAAAGGAGAUCAUAAUCAGGGGACCAAACAACUUUGUCUAAAGUGUGAAUGUCACCUAAGGAGAAGCUGUGAGAUCAGAAGGGUGGGGCAGAGGAGCAGACACCAUGAGGGAGAGUCCUUGGGGGUACAUCUGCCAGACUGACACUGUCUGGCCUGGGCAGUGGAGGGGCUAGCAGGAACCACAGGUACUGGUGGUGUGGCUACUACCGUUACAACUGCCUGUGCUUGGACAUGGACCCUCUGCAAUAUGCGGCAGUUUCAUUCAUUGCCCCCUACAUUCUACACCAAGUAGAAAUGGAAGGCAAUUGGAUACUUCACAGACAAGAUCUAAGUGGAGAAGGAAUGCGUCCUGUGGCUGCAGAGAUCCUUGGAGCUUGGAGGGGAGAGCUUGAGCCCCACUGAUGAUGACCUCCCACAGCUCGCCAACUCAGCCCUCCCUAAGUCCCCAUCGGGGGCCAAUUCUCACUCUGGGGUUGGGGGGACUCCACCAUAGCUCAUCCAUCAUAGGGAUGUUGGUAUCUACUGUGGGUUGGGUAGGGCCGAUGUGCUGAGGAUGGCUCCCCCACAAGCAAGAGAUGUGGAUUUGGGGAGCUUCCCAUCUUGUGUUGAAGGAACAUAACUCAGAAUAAUAAGAGCCAACUAUAACAAACCCACAGCCAACAUCAUACUGAAUGGGCAAAAGCUGCAGGCAUUCCCCUUGAAAAGUGGCACAGGAUAAGGAAGCCCUUUCUCACCACUCCUAUUCAAUAUAGUGUUGAAAGUCCUGAUCACAGCAGUCAGGCAACAGAAAUAAUAAAGGGCAUCCAAAUAGGAAGAGAGGAAGUCAAACUAUCCUUGUUUGCAGACAGUAUGAUUCUAUAUCUAGAAAACCCCAUAGCCUCAGCCCAAAAGGUCCUUCAUCUGAUAAUUUCAGCAAAGUUUCAGGAGACAAAAUCAGUGUACAAAAAUCACUAACAUUCCUAUACACAGUCGCCAAGCCAAGAGCCAAAUCAGGAGCACAAUCCCAUUCAUAAUUGCCACAAAAAAGAAUAAAAUACCCAGGAAUGCAGCUAACCAAGGAAGUAAAGGAUCUCUACAAUGAGAAUCACAAACGCUGCUCAAAGAAAUCAGAGAUGACACAAACAAAUGGAAAAACUUUCCAUGCUCAUGGCUAGGAAGAAUCAAUAUCAUUAAAGUGGCCAUACUACCCAAAGCAAUUUAUAGAUUCAAUGCUAUUCCUAUCAAACUAUCAAUUACAUUUUUCACAGAACUAGAAAAAACUUAAAAUUCAUAUGGAACCAAAAAGCCUGAGUAGUCAAGGCAAUCCUAAACAAAAAGAACAAAGGUGGAGGCAUCACAUUACCUAACUUCAAACUACAGGGCUACCAUGACCAAAACAGCAUGGUACUGGUACAAAAGCAGACACACAGACCAGUGGGACAGAAUAGAGAGCCCAAAAAUAAGGCCACAAACCUACAGCCAUCUGAUCUUCAACAAAGUUGACAAAAACAAGCAAUGGGGAAAGGUCUCCCUAUUCAAUAAAUGGUGCUGGGAUAACUGGCUGGCCAUAUGCAGAAGAUCGUAACUGGACCCCUUUUACUAUGUACAAAAAUUAAGAUGGUUUAAAGAGUUAAAACCCAAAAUUAUAAAAAUCCUGAAGAUAACUUAGGCAAUACCAUUCUGGACAUAGGAACUGGCAAAUAUUUCAUGAUGAAGACACCAAAAGCAAUUGUAACAAAAGCAAAAAUGGACAAAUUGGAUUUAAGAGCUUUUUCAUAGCAAAAUAAACAACAGGGCAGACAAUCUACCAAAUGACAGAAAAUUUUUGCAAACUAUGCAUCUGACAAGGGGCUAAUAUCUAGCAUCUAUAAGGAAUUUAAACACAGUUACAGGAAAAAAAAAACCCACUCCAUUAAAAAAUGGGCAAAGGACAUGAACAGACACUUUUCAAAAAAGACAUACAUACAGCCAACUAGCGUGUUAAAGAAAACCUCAAUUAUCACUGAUCAUUAGAGAAAUGCAAAAUCAAAACCAUGAUGAGAUAUCAUCUGCCAGUCAGGAUGGCUACAAAAAAGUAAAAAAAUAAUAGAUGUUGGUGAGGUUAUGGAGAAAAGGAACUUAUACACUUGUUAGGAGUGUAAAUUAGUUCAAUCACUGUGGACAGCAGUGUGGUGAUUCCUCAGAGAGCUAAAAACAACUACCAUUUGACUCACCAAUCCCAUUACUGGAUAUUUACCUAAAGGAAUAUAAAUCAUUCCACCAUAAAGACACAUGCAAGUGUAUGUUCAUUGCAGCACUAUUAACAGUAACAAAGCUGGGCACAGUGGCUCACCUCACGACUGUAAUCCCAGCACUUUGGGAGGCUGAGGUAGGCGGAUCACCUGAGGUCGGCAGUUUGAGACCAGCCUGACCAACAUGGAGAGACCCCAUCUCUACUAAAAAUACAAAAUUAGCCAGGUGUGGUGGCUCAUGCCUGUAAUCCCAGCUACUUGGGAGGCCAAGGCAGGAGAAUUGCUUGAACCCAGGAGGCAGAGGUUGCAGUGAGCCGAGAUCACACCAUUGCACUCUAGCCUGGUGAAGGAGCAAGACUCCAUCUCAAAAAAAAAAAAAAAAAAGAAAGAAAGAAAAAUACACAUUCAGAGGAGACAAAAAAUAAAAAACAAUGAUGCAUGCCCACAGGAUCUAGAAAAUAACUUCUUAAGGGCAAAUCUAGGAGUUAUUGGCCUUAAAGAAGAGAUAGAGAAAGAGAUAGGAAUAGAAAGUUUGUUGAAAGGGAUAAUAACAUAGAACUUCCUAAACCUACAGAAAGAUAUUUAUAUCCAAGUACAAGAAGGUUAUAGAACACCAGGCCAAUUUAACCCAAAGAUUACCUCAAGGCAUUUAAUAAUCAAACUCCCACAGGACAAGGGUAAAGAAAGGAUCCUAAAAGCAGCAAGAGAAAAGAAACAGAUAACAUACAAUGGAGCUCCAAUACAUCUGGCAGUAUAUUUUUCAGUGGAAACCUUACAAGCCAGGAGAGAGUGACAUGACAUAUGUUAAAGUGCUGAAGGGAAAAAACCUUUUACCCUAGAAUAGUAUAUCCAGCAAAAAUAUCCUUCAAACAUGAAGAAUAAACAAAGACUUCCCCAGACAAACAAAAGCUGAGGGAUUUCAUCAACACUAGACUGGUCCCAUAAGAAACGCUUAAGGGAGUACUUUGGUCAGAAAGAAACAGACAUUAAUGAGCAACAAAGAAUCAUCUAAAGGUAAAAAACUCACUGUUAAGAGUAAGUACACAGAAAAACCCAAAGUGUGAUAACAUUGUAACUGUGGUGUGUAAGUAGAAAGAAUAAAUGAUAAACCAAUCAAAAAUAGUAACUACAACUUUUCAAGACCAGUCAGAAAAAUAAGAUAAAAUUAGAAACAACAAAAAGUUAAAAAGUGGGGGGAUGAAGUUAAGAUGUAGAGUUUUUAUUAGUUUUUUGUUUGUUAAUGCAAACAGUGUUACCAGGUUAAAAUAAUGGGUUACAAAAUAGUAUUUGUAAUCCUUAUGGUAACCUCAAACCUAAAAACAUACACUGGAUACAUAAAAAAUAAAAAGCAAAAACCUAAAUCAUAUCACCAGAGCAAACUACCUUCCCUAAAGGAAGACAGGAAGAAAAGAAAGAAGAAGACCACAAAACAACCAGAAAACAAAUAAAUAACAAGGCAGGAGUAAGUCUUUACUUAUCGAUAAUACAUUGAAUGGAAAUAUGGACUAAACUCUCCAAUCAAAAGACAUAGACUGGCUGAAUGAAUGGAGAAAACAAGACCCAUUGAUCUGUUGCCUACAAGAAACACACUUAAACUAUAAAGACACACAUAGGCUGAAAGUAAAGAGUUGGAAAGAGUUAUUCCAUGCCAAUGGAAACCAGGAAAAAGAGAAGGAGUAUUGAUUUUGAUACAAAAACUAUGAGACAAAUAAAGUCACUAUACAAUGAUAAAGGGGUUAAUAUGGUUUCCAUUUGUGCCCCACCCAAAUUUCGUGUUCUAUUGUAAUCCUCAAUGUUGGAGGUGGGGCCUGGUGGGACGUGAUUAGAUCAUGGGGGUGGAUCUUUCAUGACUAAUUCAGCACCAUCUUCUUAGUGCUGUUCUCAUGAUAGUGAGUUCUUCUGAAAUCUGGUUGCUUAAAAGUGUGUAGCACCUCUCCACACCACCCGCUUGCCUUGGUCUACUCCUGCUAUGUAGAUGCUUGCUCCCACUUUGCAUUAUUCCAUGAGUAAAAGCUCCCUCAGGCCUUCCCAGAAUCAGAUGCCGCUAUGCUUCCUGAACAGCCUGUGGAACUAUGAGCCAAUUCAACCUCUUUUCUUCAUAAAUUAACAAGUCUUGGGUAUUUCUUUAUAGCAGUGUGAGAACAGAAUAAUACAGAAAAUUGGUAAAGAGGAGUGAGGCAUUGCUAGAAAGAUACCUGAAAAUGUGGAAACAGCAGUGGAACUGGGAAAUAGACAGAGGUUGGAAGAGUGUGGAGGGCUCCGAAGAUAGGAAGAUGAGGGGAAGUUUGGAAUUUCUUAGAGAUUUGUUAAAUUGUUUUGACCAAAAUACUGAUGGUGAUAUGGACAAUGAAGUCCAGGCUGAGGAGGUCUCAGAUGGAGAUGAGGGACUUAUUGGGACCUGGAGUGAAGGUCACUUUUGUUAGGACAUUGUGGUUGGAGACAUUGUGCCCCUGCCCUAGGAAUCUGUGGAACUUUGAACUUGAGAGCGAAGAUUUAGGGUAUCUGGCAGAAGAAAUUUCUAAGCAGCAAAGCGUUCAAGACGUGGCCUGGCUGCUUCUGGUAGUCUGUGCUCAUAUUUGUGAGCAAAGACAUGACAAGAAACUGGAACUUAUAUUUAAAAAGGAAGCAGAGUGUAAAAGUUUGGAGAAUUUGCAGCCUGGCCAUGUUGUAGAAAAGAAAAAAACCAUUUUCUGGAGAGGAAUUCAAGCUAGCUGCAGAAAAUUGCAAGUAACAAGGAGCAAAAUGUUGAUAGCCAAGAUAGUGGGAAAAACACCUUGAAGGCAUUUCAGAUACCUUGGGGGCAGCCUCUCCCAUCACAGGCCCAAAGGCCUAGGAGGGAAGGAUGGUUUCCUGGGCCAGGCUCAGGGUCCUGCUGCCCUGCACAACCUCAGGAAACUGCUCUCCAAAUCCCAGCUGCUCCAGCUCCAGCUUCAGCUCAAAGGGCCCCAGGUAUAGCUCAGGCUGCUGCUCCAUAGGAUGCAAGUUAUAAGCCUUAGUGGCUCCCGUGUGGUGUUAAAUUAAGCCUGUAGGUGCACAGAGUGCAAGAAUUGAGGCUUGGGAGCCUCCAACUAGAUUUCAGAGUAUGUGUGGGAAAGCCUGGAUGUCCAGGCAGAAGCCAGCUGCAGGGACAGAGCCCUCAUGGAGAACCUCUACUAGGGUAGUGUGGAGGGGAAAUUUGGGGUUGGAGUUCCCACACAGCUUCCCCUCUGGUGUACUGCCUAGUGGAGCUGUGAGAAGACAGCCACUGUCCUCCAGAUUCCAGGAUGAUAGAUCUGCCAAUGACAGCUUGCACUGUACAACUGGAAAAGCCACAGGCAGUCAAUGCCAGCCCGUGAAAGCAGUGACAGUGGCUUACCCUGCAAAGUCCCAGGGGCUGAGCUGCCCAAGGCCUUGGGAGCCCACCCCUUGCACCAGUGUGCCCUGGAUGUGAGAUAUGGAGUCAAAGGAGAGUAUUUUGGAGCUUUAAGAUUUAAUGACUACCUGCUGGGUUUCAGACUUGCAUGGGUCCAGUAGCCCCUUUCUUUUGGCCAAUUUCUCACUUUUGGAAUGGGAGUGUUUACCCAAUUCCUGUACCCCCACUGUAUGUUGGAAGUAACUAACUGUUUUUUUAUUUUGUAAGCUCACAGGUGGGAGAGACUUGCCUUGUCUCAGGUUGAGACUCUGGACUUUGGACUUUUGAAUUAAUGCUGGAAUGAGUUAAGACUUUGAGGGACUGUUGGGAAGAUAUAACUGUAUUUUGCAGUAUGAGAAGGACAUGAGAUUUGGGAGACACCAGAGGUGGAAUAAUAUGAUUUGGAUCUGCAUCCCCACCAAAAUCUCAUGUUCAAUUGUAAUCCUAAAUUUUGGAGGUUGAGCCUGGUGGAAGAGGAUUGGAUAAUGGGGGUGGUUUCUCAUGGUUUAACACCAUCCCCCUGGGUGCUGUUCUCAUGACAGUGAGUGAGUUAUUGUGAGAUCUGAUUGUUUAAAAGUGUGUGCCACCUCCUCCCACUUUCCUCCUGCUCCAGCCAUGUAAGACAGGCUUGCCUCCCCUUCACCUUUUGUCAUGAUUGUAAGUGUUCUGAGGCCUCCCCAGCCAUGCUUCCUGUACAGCCUGCAGAACUGUGAGCCAAUUAAACCUCUUUUCUCUAUAUAUUACCCAGUCUCGGGUAUUUCUUUAUAGCAGUGCAAGAAUAGACUAAUACAGGGUUCAAUUCAGCAAGAGGAUAUAACAAAUAUAAAUAUAUAUGCACUCAACACUGCAGCACCCAGAUAUAUAAAGCAAAUACGAUUAGAGCUAAAGAGAGAGAGUGACCCCAAUACAAUAAUAGCUGGAGACUUCAACACCACAUUUUCAGCACUGGACAGAUCUUCCAGACAGAAAAUAAAAAAGAAACAUCAGACUUAAUCUGCACUGUAGAUCAAAUGGAUCUAAUACAUACUUGCAGAACAUUUUAUCCAAUGGCUGCAGAAUACACAUUCUUUUUUAGCACAUGUAUCAUUCUCAAGGAUAGACCAUAUGUUAGGUCACAAGUCUUAAAACAUUAAAAAAGUUGAAUACCAUCAAGCAUCUUCUCUGACCACAGUGGAAUACAACUAGAAACUAAUAACAAGAGGAAUUUUUGAAACUACAAAUACAUGAAAAUUAAACAAUAUGCUCCUGAAUGACCAUUGAGUCAAUGAAGAAAUUAAGAAGGAAAUUGAACAAUUUCUUGAAACAAAUGAUAAAGGAAACACAACAUACCAAAACCUAUGGGAUACGGCAAAAGCAGUACUAAGAGGCAAAUUGAUAGCUAUAAGUGCCUACAUGAAAAAAGAGGAAAAACUUCAAAUAAGCAAUUUAACAAUGAACCUUAACCAGAAAAGCAAGAGCAAAACAAACACAAAAUUAGAAGAAAACAAAUAAUAAAAAUUAGAGCAUAAAUAAAUAAAAUUGAAAUAAAAAUCAAUGCAAAAGAACAAUGAAACAAAAAGUUGCUUUUUUUCAAAAGUUAAACAAAACUGACAAGCCUUUAGCAAGACUGAGAAAAAAGAGACAAGAUACAAAUCAGAAAUGAAAAAGACAUUACAACUGACACUGCAGAAAUUCAAAGGAUCAUUAGGGGCUACUAUGAGCAACUCUAUGCCAAUAAAUUGGAAAAUCUAGAAGAAAUUGACAAUUCCUAGACACAUACAACCUACUGAGACUGGACCAGGAAGAAAUCCAAAACCUGAACAGACUAAUAACAAGUAACAAGGUUGAAGCCAUAAUAAAAAGUCUCCCACUAAAGAAAACCAAGGACCCGAUGGCUUCACUGUUGAAUUCUACCAAACAUUUAAAGAAGAACUAAUACCAAUCCCACUCAAGCUAUUGAAAAAUAGAGGAGGAGAGAAUAUUUCCAAAGUCAUUCUAGGAGACCAGUAUCACCCUGAUACCAAAACCAGACAAAGACACAUCAAAAAAAGAAAACUGCUGGCCAAUUUCUCUGAUGAAUAUUGAUGCCAGAAUCCUCAGCAAAAUAUUAGCAAACUAAAUUCAACAAUACAUUAAAAAGAUCAUUCAUCAGGGUCGGGUGCAGUGGCUUAAGCCUCUAAUCCCAGCACUUUGGGAGGCCGAGGUGGGCAGAUCACCUGAGGUCAGGAGUUCAAGACCAGCCUGACCAACAUGGUGAAACCUCGUCUCUACUGAAAAUACAAAAUUAGCCGAGUGUGGUGGUGCAUGCCUGUAAUCCCAGCUACUCAGGAGACUGAGGCAGGAGAAUCACUUGAACCCAGGAGGUGGAGGUUGCAGUGAGCUGAGAUUGUGGCACUGCACUCCAGCCUUGGUGACAGAGUGAGACUCCAUUAAAAAAAAAAUCAUUUAUCAUGACCAAGUGGGAUUUAUCCCUGGAAUGCAAGGAUGGUUCAACACAUGCAAAUCAAUCAAUGUAAUACAUCAUAUCAAAAAGAAUGAUUAAAACCAUAUGAUUAUUUCUAUUGAUGCUGAAAAAGUAGUUUAUAAAAUCCAACAUCCCUUCAUGAUAAAAACCCUCAAAAAACUGUAUAAAAGAAAUAUACCUCAACGUAAUAGCCAGAUAUGACAGACCCACAGCUAGUAUCAUACUGAAUGGGGAAAAAGUGAAAGACUUUCCUAUAAGAUCUGGAACACAACAGGGAUGUUCACUGUCACCACUGUUAUUCAACAAAGUACUGGAUGUUCUAGCUAGAGCGAUCAGACAAGAGAAGAUAUAAAGGCCAUCCAAACUGGAAAGGGAGAAGUUAAAUUACCCUAGUUUGCAGAUGAUAUGAACUUAUAUUUGGAAAAAACCUAAAGGCUCCACAGGAAAACUAUUAGAAUCAAUAAAUUCAGUAAAGUUGCAGGACACAAAAUCAACAUAUAAAAACCAGUAGCAUUUCUAUAUGUCAACAGUGAACAAUUUGAAAAAUUUUAAAUUUAAGAAGGUAAUUUCAUUUACAAUAGCCACACAUAAAAUUAAAUACCUAGGAAUUAACCAAAAAUGUGCAAGAUAUCUAUGAGGAGAAUUAUAAAACAUUGAUGAAAGAAAUUGAAGAGGACACAAAAAAAAUGGAAAAAAUUCCAUCUUUAUGGAUUGGAAGAAUCAAUAUUGUUAAAAUGUCCAUACUACCCAAAGCAAUCUACAGAUUUAAUGCAAUCCCUAUCAAAAUACCAAUAAUAGUCUUCAGAGAAAUAGAAAAAAAAAUCCCAAAAUUUAUAUGAAAACACAGAAUGCCCAGAAUAGCCAAAAUUAUAUUAAGCAAAAAGAUCAAAACUGGAGGAAUCACAUUACCUGACUUCAAAUUAUGCUACAGAGCUAUAAUCACCAAAACAGCAUGGUACUGACAUAAAAACAGACACAUAGUCCAACAGAACAGAAUAGAGAACCUAGAAACAAAUCCACACACUCACAGGGAACUCAUUUUUGACAGAGUUGCCAAGUACUUAUACUGGAGAAAAGAAAAGACAGUCUCUUCAAUGAAAUGGUGCUGGGAAAACUGGAUAUCCAUAUGCAGAAGAAUGAAACUAGACCCCUACCUCUCACUGUAGACAAAAGUCAAAUCAAGGCUAGGCAUGGUGGCUUACACCUGUAAUCUCAGCACUUUGGGAGGCUGAGGCAGGCGUAUCACGAGGUGAAGAGAUUGAGACCAUCCUGACCAACAUGGUGAAACUCACCCCCCCCCACCCACUAAAAAUACAAAAAUUAGCUGGGCGUGAUGGCAUGUGCCUGCAGUCCUAGCUACUCAGGAGGCUGGGGCAGGAGAAUCGCUUGAACCCAGGAGGUGGAGGUUGCAGUGAGCUGAGAUUGUGCCACUGCACUCCAGCCUGGCGACAGAGCAAGACUCCAUCUCAAAAAAUAAAAAAUAAAUUCAAAAUGUAAUAAAGACUUAAAUCUAAGACCUCAAACAUGAAACUACUAUAAGAAAACAUUGGGGAAAACCUCCAGGACAGUAGUCUGGCCAAAAAUUUCUUGAGCAAUACCCCACAAGCACAGGCAACCAAAAUAAAACUGGACAAAUAGUAUCACAUCAAGUUUAAAAGCUUCUACAAAGCAAAGGAUACAAUCAAUAAAGAGACAACCCACAGAAUGGGAGAAAAUAUUUGCAAACUACCCAUCUGACAAAGAAAUAAUAACCAGAGUAUAUAAGAAGCUCAAACAACUCUAUAGUAAAAAAAAAAAAAAAAAAAAUUCUAAAAGUCUAAGUAAAAAAAUGGGCAAAAGAUUUGAAUAGACAUUUCUCAAAAGAAGACAUACAGGCCAUGCGUGGUGGCUCAUGCCUGUAAUCCCAGCACUUUGGGAGGCCCAGGCGGGUGGAUCACUUGAGGUCAGGAGUUCGAGACCAGCCUGACCAACAUUGUGAAACUCCGUCUCUACUAAAAAUACAAAAAUAAGCCAGGCAUGGUGGCGCACACCUGUAAUCCCAGCUACUCAGGAGGCUGAGGCAGGAGAAUCGCUUAAACCUGGGAGACAGAGGUUGCAGUAAGCCGAGAUCACACCACUGCACUCCAGCCUGGGCAACAAAGUGAGACUCCGUCUCACAAAAAAAAAAAAAAAAAAAAAAAAAAAAGAAAAGAAAAAGGAAGAAGACAUACAAAGCCAGGUACAGUGGCUUAUGCCUCUAAUCCUAGCACUUUAGGAGGCCAAGGCAGAUGGAAUUGAGCCCAGAAGUUUGAGACCAGACUGAGCAAUAUGGUCAAACCCCAAUUCUGCAAAAUACAAAAAUAAAAAAUAGCUGGGAGUGGUGGUGCACACCUGUAGUCCCAGCUACUUAGGAAGCUGAGAUGGGAGGAUCACUUGAGCCUGCAGUGAAUCAUAAUUGCACCAAUGCACUCCAGCCUGGGCGACAGAGUGAGAGACAUUGUCUCAAAAAAAAGAAAAAGAAAAAAAAGAAAGGACAUAAAAAUGACAAACAGGCAUAUGAAAAGGUGCUGAUGAUUAUUGAUCCUCAGAGAAAUGCAAAUCAAAACUGCAAUGAGAUAUAAUCUCACCCCAGUUAAAAUGGCUUAUAUCCAAAAGACAGGCAAUAACAAAUGCUGGUGAGGAUGUGGAUAAAAGGGAACCCUCGUACACUGUUGAUGGGAAUGUAAAUUAGUACAACCACUAUGGAUAACAGUUUAGAGGUUCCUCAGAAAACUAAAAAUUGAGUUGCGAUAUGAUGCAACAAUCCUACUGCUGGGUAUAUACCCCACAAAAGACAAAACCAGCGUUUUGCAUGGUGGCUCACACCUGUAAUCCCAGCACUAUGGGAGGCCGAGGAGGGCAGAUCACUUGAGCCCAGAAGUUCAAGACCAGCCCGAGCAACAUGGCAAAACCUGAUUUCUACAAAAUACAAAAAAAAAAUUAGGCAGUUGUAGUGGUUCACACCUAUAGUCCUAGCUACUGUGGAGGCUGAGGUAGGAUCACUUGAACCUAGGAGGUGGAGGUUGCAGUGAGCCAAGAUCAUGCCACUGCACUCCAGCCUGGGUGACAAAGUGUGACCCUGUCUCAAAAAAGAAAAUCAGUAUAUGGAAGAGGUAUCUGCACUCCUAUGUUUUUUACAACACUGUUUACAAUAGCUAAGAUUUGGAAGCAACCUAAAUGUCUAACAGCAGAUGAAUGGAUAAGGAAAAUUUGGUAUGUAUACACAAUGAAGUACUAUUCAGCCAUAAAAAGGAAUGAGAUCCAGUCAUUUGCAACAGCAUGGAUGGAAGUGGAGAUCAUUAUGUUAAAUGAAAUAAGCCAGGCACAGAAAGGCAAACAUGGCAUGUUCUCACUUAUUUGUGGGACCUAAAUUCAAAACAAUUGAACUAAUGGACAUAAAGAGUAGAAGAAUGGUUACCAGAGGCUAGGAAUGGUAGUGGGGGGCUGAAGGGAAGGUGGGGAUGUUUAAUCGGUAAAAAAAAAUUUAGAAGAAUAAGACCUACUAUUUGAUAGCACAAUAGGGGGACUAUAGUCAAUAAUGCACAUUUAAAAAUAGUGUAAUUGAAUGGUUUGUAACUCAAAGGAUAAAUGCUUGAGGGAAUGGAUACCCCAUUCUCCAUGAUGUGCUUAUUUCACAUUGCAUACCUGUAUCAAAACAUCUCAUGUACCCCAUAAAUAUAUGCAGCUAUUAUGUACCCAC
rnacentral:lncRNA from 1 species